rnacentral:rRNA from 1 species
UACGUAGGGUGCGAGCGUUGUCCGGAAUUAUUGGGCGUAAAGAGCUCGUAGGCGGUUUGUUGCGUCUAUCGUGAAAACCUGCAGCUUAACUGUGGGCUUGCGGUGGAUACGGGCAGACUUGAGUUCGGUAGGGGAGACUGGAAUUCCUGGUGUAGCGGUGAAAUGCGCAGAUAUCAGGAGGAACACCGGUGGCGAAGGCGGGUCUCUGGGCCGAUACUGACGCUGAGGUGCGAAAGCGUGGGGAGCAAACAGG